UACGAAGGGGGCUAGCGUUGCUCGGAAUUACUGGGCGUAAAGGGCGCGUAGGCGGAUAGUUUAGUCAGAGGUGAAAGCCCAGGGCUCAACCUUGGAAUUGCCUUUGAUACUGGCUAUCUUGAGUUCGGGAGAGGUGAGUGGAAUGCCGAGUGUAGAGGUGAAAUUCGUAGAUAUUCGGCGGAACACCAGUGGCGAAGGCGACUCACUGGCCCGAUACUGACGCUGAGGCGCGAAAGCGUGGGGAGCGAACAGG
rnacentral:rRNA from 1 species